CGGACUUCAUAGAAACAUUGGUUCGCUCGUGGUACUUUUUCAGCAUGUUAACAUGACACAGACGAGACGAACGUCUACGCUCGGGUGUUUUCACAAUGUAAUCUGUAUUACUGACCUUUUCCUUGAUUACGUAUGGACCAGAAUAACGGGCAGACAAUGAUGAACCCUGCACGGGCAACAGAACAAGAACGAGAUCUCCCUUCUGGAACUGACGGCUUUCAGACUUUGUAUCAUACUGUUGCUUCAUCCUUUUCUGUGCUCUGGACAGACUUUUCUGGGAUAACCUCCACGCUUCCUGCAUACGAGUACGCAUUUGUCCAACAUAAACACUAACCGUACGGGGUAACGUUUUAGGGAAUUCCGCGCACAGAACAUUUUCCUGUACAAGUGCUAAUGGACCUCGAGGUGUGCGACCGAACACCAACUCGGCCGGACUAUAGCCCAGUGACUCCUGCACUACCUCUCUAAUAGCAAAUAACACGUAAGGUACACCUUCAUCCCAGUCAUUCUCCUCACUAAAACAAUACUUUUUGAGCAUUGACUUAAGCGUUUGAUGCCAUCGUUCUAACGCACCUUGACUCUCCGGGUGGUAUGGACUAGAUACCCGGUGUCGAAUAGAAAAAGACUGUAAAACCUGUGCUAGGAGCUUGGACAUAAAAUUACUGCCCUGGUCCGUCUGUAUCUCCUUUGGAAGCCCGAAUGUCGUAAAAAACUUUAUUAAGGAUUUCGUAACGGUUCUGGCAGUGAUGUUCCGUAGAGGCACGCCCUCGGGAUACCGAGACGCACAGCACAUAAUUGUUAAAAGGUAUUGGUUACCAGUACGCGUUCGGGGUAGAGGACCCACACAAUCUAUAACCACUCGUUCAAAAGGUUCCCCCAUCACCGGAAUCGGCUGAAGAGGAGCACGGGGUAUUGUCUGAUUCGGUUUCCCAACAACCUGACAUACAUGACAGGUAUUACAGUAGUCCACUACAUCCUUUUUCAACCCAGGCCAAAAGAAGUACUGCAACACCCUAUGGUAGGUUUUAUUCACGCCCAAAUGUCCAGCCCAUUCAUGAUCGUGGGCGAUCGACAACACUUUAGGACGAAACUUAACAGGUAACACAAUCUGUGUCACAACCGCCCAGGCUGCAUCCGGAGCAUACGCGGACCAUUUACGCAUUAAUAUACCUUUUUCCAUGAAAAAACAUUUCUUCUUACCUGCAGCUUCUUUACUCGACACUACCUCUUCAAAACUCCUAGCAAGACUAUCAUCCACUUCCUGUGCUUUUCGCACCUUCUUAGUCGUCAUCUCAGACAGUACUUCGCUCAAGUCCGAUGUCUUCCUUUUUUCCUUAUCAUUUACAACAGGUACUUUCUUCAUUGUCGGCUCACUGCGUUUUUCAAUUAUUGAGUCAGCCAGGUUAAUCACGUCACCCAACCUCUUUCUUUCUGCACGGGUUACCACACAGGCUGGGAACACAACGACAUCUUCGGCAAUUUCCUUUUCGGUGCUUUGUGGGAACACGGGACUGUCUAUGACCUCCAGUACAGGCCUGACUGCACCUCCUGCAAUGUCAUUCCCUAAGAUGAGAGACACCCCAUCUAUCGGUAAACUAUUUACAACUCCCACUCGGAAAUAUCCGUUCGCAAAUUCGGAGUUUACAUACACUCUGUGUAACGGAACUGACAUGAUUCCCAUUUCGAUUCCACGUAACAGCACUUGGGAUCCUUCGGAAGUUUCCUCCGACCACGGUAAAACACUGGCUAAAAUCAGCGACUGUGCAGCCCCCGUGUCACGUAAGAUGUCAACUGUACAUUUCAUGCCGGGGUCGUUAGGCAACGACACCCAACCAACAGACACAAAAGGAGCGUAGCAGGGGUCAGGAGAUUCAUUCACUUGGUCCUUCUUCCUUACUGGAUCCACUAACCCUACCCCUGUAGGAUUUCUAGGCGGGGAGUAUUGUUUAUUCGGUCUGUUCUUUAGUUUAGGACAAUCCGCAGCUAUGUGUCCAAGUCGGUGACAAAAAUAACAUUCUCUAUUUCUAUGAAGCUGUGCAGGGUCCUCUGAUGGAACUGUUUGGUUUCUCUUAAAGUCUUGCCUCUCCUCCUGACGUCGAACAGAGAAAACUGUCUUGUGGGUGAGGGCAUAUUCAUCUGCUAAAACGGCCGCUUGGGCAACUGAUGACACUCUCUGUUCAUUUAAAUGAACCACAAUCUGAUCAGGUAAGUGGUUUCUAAACUCCUCCAACAAGAGUAGUUCUCUUACUUCUGCUAAGGUUUUGGCCUUACUGGCAGUACACCACUUAUCAAAAAGGUACUCCUUAACUCUCGCAAACUCGACAAACGUUUUGUUCAUGCCCUUAAUGUGUUGCCUGAAACGUUGUCGGUAUGCUUCGGGUACUAGUUCGUAAGCACGUAGUACGGUUUGCUUCAUUGUUUCGUAAUUCAAACUGUCUUCUAAUGACAAGGCAGCCACUACCUCUUGUGCUUUCCCAGAUAACCGGCACUGUACUAACAAAGGCCACACAUCCUCUGGCCACUUCAGUGCAGCUGCCACUCUUUCAAAGGCGAGGAAGUAACUGUCAAUCUCAGCUUCACGGAACGGGGGUACCAUAGCGACGUGUUUACUGACGUCGAAAUGACUCGCGGUACUGCUGGGUGAGGUCAGCCUCUAAUCGUGAAACUUUCAUCCUCAUCCUAUAUAUCCCCUCCGGCUCGGCAGACGCCGGCGACAGCGGAGUAUAUUUGGGAAGCGUCUGAGGAAGAGGACUCCUCACUUCGCCUACCAACGUGGGCGACCGAGCAGAAACGGGAGCACCCGCUACGACUUCGUCCUCCUCAUCACUGUCAUUUUUUAAAGUGUAGACACCAGCAGCUGAGAGCAACAAUAAAUGUUCC
ensembl:lncRNA